CCCUCCUUCCCCCAUUUUGCCACCCCACCCCUACUUCUGGCAACCAGCAAUUUGUUCUCUGUAUCUAUGAGCUUCGUUAUUUUGUUUUUUAGAAUCCACAUAUAACUGAGAUCAUAUGGUAUUUGUCUCUGUCUGACUUUUUUCACUUAGCGUAACGCCCUCAAGGACCAUCGAUGUUGUUGCAAAUGGCAAGAUUGCCUAACAGCUUUUAAAGUGACAUCUCACUGCUUGAUUUAUCCAGAACUUUCUUCCCUUAUUUCCUCCAUUAGUUGGCUAAGGCUACUGUAACAAAGUACCACAAACUGAGUGACUUAAAGACCAGAAUUAUUGUCUUACAGUUCUGGAAGCUGGAAGUUGGAGAUCAAGGUGCCGACAGGGUUGAUUCCUUCUGAGGGCCAUGAGAGAGAAUCUGUUCCAUACCACUUGCCUAGCUUCUAGUGGUUUGCUGGCAGUCUUUGGCGUUCUUGGCUUACAGAAGCAUCACCCCAAUUUCUGCCUUCAUUGUCACAUGGCAUUCUCCCUGUGAGUGAUUGUGUCCAACCUCCCCCUUUUUAUAAGGAAACUAGUCAUAUUAGAUUAAGGCUCACCCUAAUGACUUCUUUUUAACUUGACUACCUCUGCAAAGACCCUAUCUUCAAAUAAGGUUAUAUCCUGAGGUCUGUUGAGAAGGGUUAGGACUUCAACACAGGAAUUUUUGAGGGACGUAUUCAACCCAUAACACUUCCCUACUUUUCUCUCUACACUUCCCAACUAAUGGUUAUAAUACACUUCCCAACUUCCCAAUUAAUAGGUAAUGUUAACUAUUAUUUUUUCUUUUACAGGCUCCUCUAAAAAAUAGCAUAUGGGGAGUUAUUUCAAUCAUCUGUAUUUGUUGAAUUUCAGUCUUGGACUUGGAAAUACUAUGGUGAGGUACGACUAACACAUAAAAAGGAGCAAUAUGUGCAAGUUAGUUUACAAUUUGGGAUUGAUGUCUGUAGUUUAGAGAAGAUUCAGAGCAGGAGCCACUGAGUUUGUGGUAAUCUGUUAGAGCAGCAAUAGGAAACUAAUACAGGAACCAAAUGGAAAUCUUUGUAGGAUUGUGGUGCUGGUGUAUUGCAGUGAAUUUGUUUUAAGAUUUGACUUAACCUUUAAAGAGUCUUUGUGGAGAAAAACUGGAAAGCCAGAAUUGUUCAUUGCUGAUCAAAAGUCUUACCUAAAGUAGCUCUGAGAAUGAUAAUCCAAUAUUCUAGUCGCAUUAGGGCAUGUAAGUAUUUUGCUCCUUCUUUGAUAUAACAGAUGCAGGCUAACCAUAGAUCAAUAAGUCUAGAAAUAGGAGUGUCCUCCCUUCCUUUUGGAACUGUUAUUUUUUUUUGUUAUAAUAAACUACAUUUACAUCCCAGCUGAAGUUUGCUAACCAGGUAGUAUUCAUCAGUGAUUGGGAAAUAAGUUAUAAAAUGAUUUUGCAUACAGUUACUUGUUUGAAUUCAGUUUUAUAGAUGACAGAACUGAAGUUCAGAGCAAAGAAGUGAGUUAUACUGUCAUACUGUCAUCAUUCAUCUGCUAUUGCUAGAACAGGUCUGAAGGCCAGAGCCUGUCUGUGCCCAGAGAAGAUCCUUUUACCACCCUAUGCGCUUUCUCUCUUUCUCAUUAUUACAUUUCUCAGUCUGGCUUUGGGACCAGAUUGCUUCUAGCCUUGGAUAACCCUAUCCAUCCUCUGAAGCAGUAUGGCUGAUGAGAAGGUGAUAGCCGUGGACAGAUAACCUUUUCCCCUUUUUCCAUCACUGACAAGCAGUCCCAUUUUUAUUAGAGCAACACAAAAUGGAAAAUGGUAAUAGCAAACGUAUAGUUUUUAUUGUGUGUCAGACACUCUUGUAAACUUCUCUGAAUAGUAACUUGUUUAAUCCUCACCAUAAUUUUUUUUAUGUAGUUACAUUAUACAGAUGAGAUCCUGAGGCACAAAGAGGUUACUUAACUUGCCCAAGGUCAUACAGGGGCAGAGUGGGAUAGGGAUGGAUGCCAUCCUUCCCUUCUGUUUAAAAAACUAUGAUACUUUUUCUCAAACUUUAUUUUGAAAAUUUUCAAAUGUCCAGAGCGUUUGAAUAGUACAAUGAACACCUGUAUACUUACUCUCUCAACAAUUAUCAACAUUUGCCACAUUUACUUUAUCUCCAUUUAUGUUUGUGCGUCUGAUCCUUUGAACAUAGUAGGCAUCAUGACACUUAAGCAUCCUGUAUUUUUAAAAAAUCAGAUCAGUUAUAUAUAAGACUUCUGAAUCCUUAUUUUAAUUUAGAUAUUCACUAAUACAGGACUUCACGUUUAGGAGAAGCCACAAAGAAAGAGAUAGGAUAGUUGAAAUUGUGCGAGAGAGUAAAGUUAGUUCAAAUAUCUAAUAGCUAAUUAUGUGCUCAGCACUUUGCCUAUAUUAAGCCCCUUAAUUUUCAAGACCACCCUAUGACAUGGGUAAUCUUAGUAUCCUCAUUUUACAGAUGUCCUCAGAGAGAGGUAACUUGCCCAAGGCCACCCAACUAAUAUGUAGCAGAGCCCCAUAUAAACCUACGCAGUUAAAUAGUGGAAAAAAAAUAUUUUUUUUUAAAUAAAGGAUGCUGAAGUGUCGCGAUGCCUACUACUUUCAAAUGAUGACACGCAUAAAUGGAGAUAAGAUAAAUGUGGCAAACAAAUGUUGAUAAUUGUUGAAUCUAGAGAAUAACUAUAUGGGUGUUCAUUGUACCAUUCAAAUUCUCUGUACCUUUGAAAAAUUUCAAAAUAAAUUCUAGAAUGAGCUCUUUUCCACUUUGUGCCUCAGUAAAUACUUUGUGGAAAAAAGUAUUUAAGGAUUUUUGCUAACAAACCUUACAGGCAAAUCAUAUUUAGUAGGAAAUAUUUACUUGGUUAUCCAACUCAAAACUAUUUUUAAUUUGGUUUCGUUUAGCUUUUUUUGUGUGUUUUUUCUUGACCUAUAGCCCAAACCUGAAGGUUCGGAACUGAAGGUGCAAGAGAAAUGCGGAAAGUGAGGGGCGGGAGAAGUGCGAGAGGUGGUCGCAGGAUGUUGCCUGCGGCGGCGGCAGCCUCGUGGAUUCUGGGAAUUGUAGUCCCCCAGUCAUCCAGGCAUUCCUGUUUAGGGCCUUGGGAGAAUGCGACUAAGGCUCCCAGAAGCCUCCGGUGCGGCUCGUUGGGAACGCACUUCCUGGGACGCUGAGAGGGAGACGCUGUAAGAGGCUCCUCAGUGUGGGCGAGUAAGAUGACUUGGGAGUGAGAAACAGGCCCAGAUAAUCUCUACUGUCUUUUCGGAUGUGCGUAUAUUUCUUCUAAGUUGAUUAAAGUUGUUUUAGAACCAUCAGUUGCCUCAAAGAAAAAGCUCUGAAUGAAGUCAAUGUGCCAGAUUUGCCUCGUCAUUGGAGUUUUCUAAUGGUCUGUGAUCUUGGAGAUUGGGAGUUUUCAAAUGGUUAAGUAGGAGGACUUUUCCUUACUCUUUGGAACUUGAGUUGCCAGGAGAAGUUGUCCUGACAGAGGCUAAUCCUGUGGUCUGGAAGAUCCAAGUGGAGGUUUUGAGCACCAAGAGGCCGCUGCAGUUGCAGGUCCUUCUAGUUGUGGCACAUUGGAUGCCGCCUCAACAUGGCCUGACGAGCGGUACCAUGUCCGCACCCAGGAUCCGAACCAGCGAAACCCUGGGCCGCCGCAGCGGAGCGUGUGAACUCAACCACUCGGCCGCUGGGCCGGGCCCAAGAGCUGUAAAACUUUUAUCUGUGAUAAAGGUACUGUCUAUCUCCAGUAUUGCUCUAUGUGCCUCCCUACCACCAAUCUAUCUUGUAUACAGGCAACAGAAUAAGCCUAAUAAAAUGCAAAUAUGACCUAGUCGCUCCCCUACUUAAUUCAGCAACUACCUCUCAGAACAGUUAAGCUCCUGCUUUAAGCCUCAAUGCAAAGUAUUGUUCAGUAGUACACACAGGAGUACAUCAAAGAAUAUAGAGCCAGGAAAAGCAAACUGCCUGGCUUAGCACGGCAGCACAGAGCUAUCUAGAAGCAGAUUUUUUUUCACUGUGCCUGUAGCUGAUCAGACUUUUAGCAAUUAUUGAGACUAACAAUGUCAUGUAAGUGUAAUGUAUAACAAAGAAUGCAAAUUCAAAAAUAAAUAAUGAUUAUCCCUUUUCAGGGACCACUAGAUUGGUCACAUUCAUUAUUCAAGGAAUCUCUAUUUCCUGUAUGAUGGAAAGAGUGGCAUGAUGAAUGUGAUAGCUGGCCUUUAAGAUGGCCCCCAAUGAUCCUUGCCUCCUGCUAUUUGUACCCUUGUGUGGUUCCAUCGCACAAUGAGCAGGGCUGACUUGUGUUACCGAUAAGAUUUUGCAGAAAUGAUAGUGGGUGAGUUCUGAGGUUAUAGGUCAUAAAAGGCAUUGUAGCUUCUGCCUGUCUCUCUUGGAUCACUUGCUUUGGGGGAACACAGCUGCCAUGUUGUGAAGACAUGCACAGCCCUAUGGUAAAUAUAGGAGGAACUGAGGCCUCCUGCCAACAGCCAGUACCAGUUUGCCAGCCAUAGAAGAGAAACAUGUUGGAAGCAGAUUUCCUCAACCCGACUCAAGGCUUCAGAUGACUGCAGCCCUGCCCAACAUCCUGAUUGAAACCUGAUUGAGAGACCCCCAAGCCAGAAUCAUCCUGCUAAGCUGCCCCCAACUUCUUGAUCCACACAAACUAUGUGAAUUAAUGCUUAUUAUUGUUUUAAGAUGCUAAAUUUAGGGGUGGUUUGUUAUACAGCAGUAGAUGACUAAUACAAAGAGCAUAAAGCAAAUGCAAGGAACCAAUCUUGAGGAAUAUUUGUUUUUAUACCAUGAAGAGCUGUUGUGAGCUUUCCUUUUUCCAUAUCAGACAAUCUCUCUCUUGAUCCCAAAUUCCCUUGGAAAGUGCUGCAUAUUUAUUGCCAAAAUAUGGUAAAACAGCCUGAUGUGAAGAGUGUUUGUUGGGGGUGGGAGGUGAGAAAGGUCUGCGCUUAGACUGGGAGCAGAAUUCUCUCUAAUUUUUGUUAGGUUGUGAGUGACUGCUUUUGUUACCAGAGAAAUAAACUGAGGAAUAAACAUACAUGGAGUUUGGAAUAGAAGUUAAAUACAUUUACAGUCAAAUUAAUCUGAAAUACACAGUGGUUAUGUUGUUAUAUGGUUACCAGGAACAAAUAAACCAUACAUAUAAAAAA